rnacentral:lncRNA from 1 species
GUGUGUUGCAAUGAGUUUUUUUCUAUGAUUUUUCAACUCAUGUAAUGAUAUUUAUUAUUUGAUAAUAAAAUGAGGUAUUGAUUCAUCAUAUUAGCUGCAUCUUAUUAUGUCUAAGAUUAUGAUGAACCUCAAAGAUUAGGAUGAUAAUUUUUGAAGACAUGAAUGAGUCAUGCUGGUGAGACCUAAAAUCUUAAAAUCCUAAUCUUAAAUAUUUCUGAUCGUAAGA